UACGUAGGGUGCGAGCGUUGUCCGGAAUUACUGGGCGUAAAGGGCGCGUAGGCGGCCUUCUAAGUCGAACGUGAAAUCCCCGGGCUCAACCCGGGAACUGCGUCCGAUACUGGAAGGCUUGAAUCCGGGAGAGGGAUGUGGAAUUCCUGGUGUAGCGGUGAAAUGCGUAGAGAUCAGGAAGAACAUCGGUGGCGAAGGCGCUCUGCUGGACCAUAACUGACACUCAGGGACGAAAGCUAGGGGAGCGAAUGGG
rnacentral:rRNA from 1 species